rnacentral:rRNA from 1 species
CGGCGGACGGGUGAGUAAUGUCUGGGAAACUGCCUGAUGGAGGGGGAUAACUACUGGAAACGGUAGCUAAUACCGCAUAACGUCGCAAGACCAAAGAGGGGGACCUUCGGGCCUCUUGCCAUCGGAUGUGCCCAGAUGGGAUUAGCUAGUAGGUGGGGUAAAGGCUCACCUAGGCGACGAUCCCUAGCUGGUCUGAGAGGAUGACCAGCCACACUGGAACUGAGACACGGUCCAG